GUUGGAGCAAUCUAGAGGGUCGACUAAAAACAGAAGCUUUUACAGCCACCUGCAAAUCGGAAGCCGCUUAUUUUAAAUUAACCUAGCCCGAUGUUGAACCUCAAAAGCAACAAACACCACCAGCUUCAUCGGUCGCUAUCAAAAAGGAAAGAGGAUAAAGCUCAUGGCCUCUCAAUCUCUUAUGGUCUUAAGUCGUGUCAUCAAUGGGGUCGUGUAGGUGGCUUUUUCGAUAAUGAAGGUUUUGUUAAUGGAGAG
rnacentral:misc_RNA from 1 species